GGAAAUGUGCCCGAACUUUUAAGGGCCACUUUGAUAGAGUAAAACACAGAGGUUAAAAUCCUCUCAUUUCCC
rnacentral:tRNA from 1 species